rnacentral:tRNA from 1 species
GACGCCUGGGCGGGCCCGGGCCGUGCCCUCCGGGGUCGCGCCUCGGCGGGGGGCGUUGGCCUCCGGCGGGUGACGGGAUCGGUUGCCUGGGGGCGUUG